UACGGGGGGAGCAAGCGUUGUUCGGAUUUACUGGGCGUAAAGGGCGCGUAGGCGGCCACCGCAAGUCGGUUGUGAAAUCUCUGGGCUUAACCCAGAAAGGUCAACCGAUACUGCGGGGCUAGAGUGCAGAAGGGGCAGCUGGAAUUCUCGGUGUAGCGGUGAAAUGCGUAGAUAUCGAGAGGAACACCUGCGGCGAAGGCGGGUUGCUGGGCUGACACUGACGCUGAGACGCGAAAGCGUGGGGAGCAAACCGG
rnacentral:rRNA from 1 species